GUAGAAAUUACUCCAUAAUGCAGGGUAGUUAGUUGAAUACGGAGGGGUAAUUGAGGGGUAAUUGAAAGAGGGGUAAAAAUUACACUGGUUUCGCGGGUAAUGUUACGCGUUGUAUAUUCGGGGGUAAAUUUUUACGGGGUAAAACUUACCCCUUAGUUACCCUUCAAUUUUUCAAGAUGGCGGCGACGCAUGGAGUGGCAG